CGUUUGCGCUCGUUCUUGUUUGCGAGGCUGACUGACUCGACCGGACGAACGGACGGAUCGAUCGUGUGGUGGCUUCGGAUCAGCGACCAGCGUCGACGACGCGCCGCAGGUAGCACAGGAGCAGCAGAAGGAGAGAGGUUUGGCCUUCUGGAGAGCGCGGUGCGGUAUGGGGAUGAUGAAAUGGGAGAGGACGGCGAGAUGAGGUCUAGAGCUCCAGGUGGCGCGCCCAGGCGAACGGCAGGCUCUCCAAAGUGAAAUACGGUGAAACACACUGACACCUGUUACCUCACUAACGACGGGAGAAAGACACUCAGUGGUACCCUUCGUCACUUCGUCUCUGUGGACGAUUCCGUUUGUUCCGUAGACGUGGAGUCCUCGUCGUCGGUGGACGAUGAAGCUCAUAACGUUGUGGCUGUCAAAUGGGUCUAACCUGGUCGAAAGUCCCUAUAGGAGGUUAAGGUGGUGUACCCAAGAAAGGGAGAGGACACCACAGUUUGGGUGUCCCAGUAGGUAUGUACACCCCUGGAGUCGGAUACUACGGUGGUAUACCCUGAGGUGGUAUACAGUAUAUGGGAGGACCUCCUUAAAUACGAGUGGGUAGUUACGCUGGCCCACGUGUGGGUAAACGAGGGAUAUGGUACUGAAGAGGUUUGCCGUUAGGACUACGACGACCUUGAUGGUGGUGACGACGAUGACGACCACCACUUUGUUUACCGUUUAGGAGACUUCCUUUUCUUUUUUCAGGGUAAUUUUCUAGGUUUCCUUCAAACCCAUCGAACUUGUACUAAUGUCCCUUUUUGACACAGCUUGUACCAUUCUGGAGUCCCCGUAGUCAGUUACCUUGGUAGAGAGUUUCACCCCUUUCACCUUCACUUUCAAGUUCACUCCCUUCACUUCGCUUAAGAGUCUUACUAAGUGUUGUGUUCCUUUCACCUGUUCUUGUUCUACCUCUACAGGCUUCAAGGGUCUUACCACAUAGUGGAAGUGGUAGGGUCCGCGUCAACUUCGUUUGAAACCGUUAAUACGUUUACGGUAGUUCACCAGGUCACGGACCGGGUUGUUGUUUGAACUUGUAUCCUUACCUGAUGACCCGUUUAUGUCGUUCGAGGAGAGGACGUAACGUACCAUUUCACUGGGGUUGACGUUAAGGUCCCCGACACCGGGGUUGUCUCGGCACCUACGUCCUACUUGCACUUGACUUUUCCGUCUUUUCUUUCGUCAGUUUGUCCCUAAGACGAGCGUCUAGAUCCGACGCGUUCGUCCGACUUACACUCCUCAACCGAGUCGCGCGACUUCAUAACUUUGUCCUUUUACGAAGUGAAUUUCUACUUCACUCGGCCUAGUCUUUCCUCAUGCUACUUGAAGACAGUUUCUUAUCGAGUGACUUCCUAUUGCAACCUCUGUUUGUUGUGUUUUGACUACUCCGUCCUGAACUGUUAUUCGACGUUGUAAGACCGCUACUGUCGGUCUUCCUGUGAUUAACUCGAUAGUACGUUACGAUAGUCUAGUAUCGGGAUUGAUCUAACAACGACCGCGUCAACAUCAUACGCAUAACUGAGGUAUGAAUAACGUAAAUUAAUAAUGGUCCAGCACCAUUUAGAAUUACGGUCGGAGCACACGACCAAGGACAAAGUGUGUACAGAACCGAAUAGAAAAUCUUCAGUUCUACACUGACUUUUACAUCCAACACUUGGUCAAGUGACAUAGACAAUCUUUAACAACCAUGAAAGUUGAAAUGUCUAGACAUAACGACUAACAAUAACAAUACAUAUGGACUUCUUUAUAGUCAGAAAAUUAACAGUCCAACGGCAAACCGAUCCGAACUGACCACGUAUCCAAUACAAUUUAUACUUACGUAGUUAGAAAGAGUGUGUAAACUAUACUAUAUCACUUGUUUACCUCCUGAAGACGAAACGGCUCACAGAGUUUGCAACAUUGAUAGUCUCUGAUAGAAAAAAACAAAGUUAAAAAAUCAAAACGAAGAAAGUUAAGUGGACUCAACACGACACCCAUACGAUUUAAAACCUCACCACUAGUCUUAUAAGCAAAGUUCGAGUAUUUGACGAAACGGUAUACGUGACAACCAUUUUUUUUUACACAAGAAUUAAGAGUGACUAUUGUUAAACAAAACUGGAAAUACACAACCCUCAUCAUAAAUCGAGUUUAAAACACUAACGGUACUAGGUGUAUUUUACAAAUGGUAAGCCGUGGAGAGGAAUUGUCAACAUAAGUCAAACACACGUCCUUACUUCAAGAUCCUUGUACUACCUUUAAAGAGAGUACCUUAUUCGACACGAAUCGUAUCCUUCAAACAAGGACUACACCUAGUAGGGUGCCAGUAGAGGUGCCUGGGUGGUAACAGAAUAGUUCGUGGUUCACCUGACUACUGUUAUCGAGCACGCUUGUAAGCCGGAUCCCGGGCCUGUAAACCCCAGAAAGUAGCCCGACCUGUAGACGGGGGUUGGAACAGUGGGCCGUGGACACGUACGUGUUGGCCCGGUCUCCGAAGUACACCUAGAUCGAAGAAGUGUGGUUGGGGUGGUAAAGGUACGUGCUUUAAACAGGUUAAAACCGUUUUUUCUUAAGAAGAGGUUCCAGUAGAGGGGCUCUCAAGAAGGUGCCUAGAGUCGUCGGUUUUUAGGCCGGGCUGCGGACCUGUAGGCUGUGCAGCGUCGGUUGUGGAGGUGGAAAGGGUUAAAACCGGCAAAAGGGUUGUACUACUCCUGUAGUUAUGGUGUUAAUGUGAGUACUGGGGACGACAAUGUAUGUACCCUGAUUAGUGAUCUCGAGCGCGUGCGGUUAAUUUAAUGGUCCAUGAAAGCAAAAAACCAUUGCUAAGAUUACAAGUACUCUUAUGCUACGACAGGUUUAAUCUAUGUAAACAAAACGAAUGUUUACUUCACGGAUCGAAUGUGUUCUCCCUACUUGUAACCUCGUACUAGUUCGUACCUCUACUACUGUACGCGUUCCCCUUGUUCUUGUCUCAAAAACCACCUCAAAAGUCGUAAAAACUCGGUGGUACU
rnacentral:rRNA from 1 species